GAAAACACUGAUUUUUGCAUUAACAUUGAUAUUGAAUGAAGGAAAUUAAUGACCUUUUCUUUACCUAUUUGAAGUAAAACACAAACCUUCGAUGUGCUAUAUACAAGGUACUAAUUCAACCCUGUUACUUGUCUGUGCUGCUUGUGUAAGGUUGAGAAGUGAAUAAGCAACUGAAAGGAAGAAGAUAAUUCUUGGGUACAUUUUGCAUGACGGCUAUAUUAUCUUUCCUCAUAGUUCAAAUGGUACUUUUCCCUGAUUCACAUAUUUUGUCUAGGCUGUCGACAUCGAAUCGCUUUGGUGCUAACACUUACCCCUAUAAACCGCAAAAUGCAGUUCAAAGUUGUGAGGGCUGAACUUGAAACUUUUGAGAAGGUGACCAUGGAAUUGGGAUAACUUGAAGUUCCUUUUUCCAAACAAGUUGUAGAACUAAAUGAUCUGCUUGUGUGAUUGCACAGAGGAUAAUUUAUAUAAUUACCUUUUAACACAUCAUCUGGUCUAUUGUUUUGGGUAUUAAGAAUCAGCUUGAAAUCUUUUUAGUUGGCCAUGAUAGUUCUAGAACAAUUGAAGAAUCGGCCUGAAGUAAUCAAAAGCUGGAGAUUUCAUCUUUAUGUAAGAACUAGAAGGCAAGGAGAUACAUUUUGGGUGAACUCAACAACAUUGCCAGGAAACUUCCAAUAUGUAUAUUACCAAUUUUAAUUUUUCCAUUAUAUGUUUUUAUCCAAUUUGCAAAAUACUUGCAUAGCUUUAAGUUUUUUAAAUGUGACGCACAGUGCAUAUGGAAUCAAAUCUCUUUGAGAUUGCAUGAGAUUUAGUUAUGCCAGCACUCAAACUAAAAAAAAAAUGUCACAACUGCUUGACCAUUAUAAGUUACUUUAUGCUGAAUGCAUCUUCUCUUUUGUAACAAUGGUUGUUAUAUUUACUGACUCACCACUCAAUAAGAAUUUUGUGUACUCGAUAGGUAAGAAUUCUUUUGAAGCAUAUAUUUUUAUUACAUUUCUUUCUAUUAUAAUUUUGUAGAGUGGCUCUAAACUUGGUAAUUUUUGGAACCAUCUCUUUCCUUUCGGAGAAAGAUCAAGUAAUGUUAGUUUUUUCUUUUAAUAAAAUGAGAAAUUUAUUGAUAUGACUAAUUUACAUAAGAGGGGAGAUAAAUUAAACUUUACCUCCCUAAGAUACAUAUGUAAAUCAAAAGAGUGCACUUUAAGUGGUACAAGGUUAAUCCUUGGAUCCCCAUAAGCUUUAAAACUGAUUUUGGAGUGGCUUCUGCAAUAAAAGAUGUUGCAGUUAAUUAUGAAAAAUCCUCCUCUUAUUGCUUAUUGAAAUUUAUAUUAUUGUGUGCACUUACUGUCUGCUCCACCAAGUUGAUUCACUGCUUCUACAAACAUCUGAUGAAGGUCUGGUGUCCAUUUCAAAUUUUGAUUAGAGGAAGUGCCAACUGAAUAUGUAAUUAUUUUCUUAAAAGGUGAUCAGAUGAGUGUGGCUUGUGGUUACUAUUGUUAGAAACGCCAUAUUAGUGCUUGUAUGUUUAAUUUCGAUAAUUUAAAACAGAUGCCAAAUUAGAUUGUUAUUGAUGUUGCAGUUAUGUCUAUGCUUUGUGAUGAUAUGAGUUUCAGAUAGCUGGUUGCUACAGUUCUACUGAGUGCUAAGAAAAGUACAUAUGGAGGGUGGUUUAAAUUCUAAACAGUCAAUUGACACUUUAUAUUUCCUCCUUUCACUCAGUAAUCAAGUAGUCUCAGCUGUUGAACUGAGCAACCAUUUUGCUGAUAUUAGGUUCAUCCGGCUACCGGCUACCAGCUACAAGGUAUGUUAAGACGACAGAUUUUACUUUGAGGUAGUGCUUUAUAUUUUAAUCUUCGAGCUUUGAAUUGGUGAACAAAGGAAUAUUACUUUUCCAGAAUGCCUCUGUUAUGUUAUAUUAGUUUCUCUAUAUGAAAAUAACUGAAGGUUACGUUCCAUUACUCUUUAACUCUGUUUUUACUUUCUAGAGGGAGUCUAGGCAAUGGUUUUGAAGCUGAAAAGUCCUAUUAUUCGCCUUCAAUAGUUUUUGGCUAUGUUCCAUCGGAAGGUUAAUGAUUUUCUUUCAUUCCUCUCUUAGCUAUUAGCCCCUUCUAUUUGACCUGAUUAUUGGCUUGAUUUGAUCAUUUUUUUCAAUGGUUUACUGUUUCAGUCAUGAGUUCUAUGAUUCUUUUUUGUUAGUACAGAUAGGGGAAACGAAGAUGCUAACUACUUUUGCUGCUUUGUGUUGCCUGUAUUAUAAUUAUUUGUUUGGCUGCUUGAUGUUCUGUUAUGUUUGAGUAGCUGUAGAAAAUCAUCAAAAUUAUUUAGAAAAUGGCAAUGGCAGGAACAAAACAAAAAGGAUGCUUGCUAAAACUCUAAUCUACGAGCUCAAAGUAUGUAUUUUUAAGGAAUCUAUAACUAGAUGUGGCUGAUGGCACAAUGCUUACAUUGAGCAUUAUUCUUUGAAGUUUUAAGGUUCUCUCGUUAUAGUUCUUUCAUAUGAAUUUUCUUUAUUUAAAUUUUGAUUUUGAGUGUGAUCCUAAGUUUGCCCGCUACCUAAACGAGUCUGUUAAGCAUUAUGUUUACCUAAAGGUGAGAUAUCUGAUAAUGUGCAUCAGUAUAAGACUCUAGAGGUCCAAAGCUUGUCACAACAGUUACUUGGUGACAAGGGGGUGAAAAUGCUUCUCAGAAAGUAAUGGCAGUUUCAUGAACCUGACAAGAUAUGUUCGAGUUAAUUGCUCUUGGUUUGGUUGAUAUUAUUUAUUUUGCGUCAAUGAAGUGUUGCAUAUGGUAAUUUAUUUUACUUUUGUAGUUUUAGAAGGAUUUUGAGGUUUUCCCUUUGAAAUUGGGUUUUUCAAAAUUUAAUUAAAGUCUCCUUUUAGAGAUGUACAGGCAAAUUGAAAGAUUGAAUCUGACAUGAAUAUUGACGAUUAAUCAGAAUCUUCUGCGCUGACAGAGAUUAGAUUCAGCUGUUACGGCGAGUAAGUAUAAUAUCCUACUAUUGGAUAUAGUUUUAUUUUUUAUGCAUAUUGGUUGUUUCUUUUUUCGUUUGAUAUCUGGGUUCUUCAUCGUCCUUUAGAAAAUGGCAUCACAGGUGACAGGUGCUCUUGAUUAGAGAAAGAUCAGGGGGUGCUAAUGAUGCACAUAAAAUAUCUGAUAAAAUGUCCUGCAAGAAAAUAGUGUCUACUGCAUCAGGAGAUGGCUCUACAAUAGUUGUUGAUACCUUGAAAUAAUACAUAGAGAUGAUAUAGAUAUGCCAGAUAUGUUCUCUUACUUUCUUAUACUACUUGGACCUUAGGGAGCUGCUCUAUUAUUAGCUAAAGAAAUAGAUAAGGAGAAGCUUAUUUUUCUGUUGUUGCAUGUCUAUGUCUUUGUUAUUUGCUUUGCAACUUGAACUAUUUUGAUGUGUGAUUUCCGUAGGAAUGUGCAACCGUGGUAGUAUCAAUUAUCCUCAAGUCCAAUAGAAAUUUCACCUUAACUUCUAUUUGCAUACAAGACAAUUGUUUGUGGAUCUCUUUUUCUUCUGAGAUUAAUUAUGAUUUGUGGGUCAAUACUCAGGACAUGUUUAUGUCAAAUAAUAAAAUGUAUAAUGGUGAUUAUUCUUGGUAUAAAGGAUGAAAAUAAAGAACUGAAAAAGAAUAAGAAAGACAAUAUUUAGACUACAUAGGAGUAAGAACCUUUUACAUUUACAUGCUUGGACCAUUUCACAUAUUAGAAUUGCAUUGAGAGUUGAUAAAAGUGCACAUAAAUCCUAUGCUGAGAAUUUUAAAAAUUAAUUGAAGAGUGCCCGUGUCAUAGUUCUUUCAUGUUUUAAAAGGUAGAAUAGGGGUGUGCUGCAAUUUUGAAAAGCUGGAAGACAAAACGUGGAAGAACAAUGCUCCACAAGAAUGCUCAAAGAGUUCUUCCUUCAAUAGUCUUCACAUAAGCAAUAAACAAGACACAUCCUUAUGACCGAUUAGGCUCUUACUGGUACAAUUUUGCAGGUGGUUAGGUAUCAGAUAUUCUCGAUAAUUUGACCUUUUCUUUUUGGAAUUUCGGAGGAUUCAAGUGACCAAAUUAAUGAUGCUAUUGAAAGGUUCCCAAGAGUUAAGUUUGUUGCUGGAGCUUUUGAGUACCCUCCGAGUUAUAAGUCAUUGUUGGAUAUUGUUUGUUGUGAAGUAUGUUUAUAUUGUCUCUUGUCAUCUGUAACUUUAUUUCCUUUCCUCUAUCUUAUUUUGUUGAAUUCUUUAACUGAACUUUAGAAUUCAAUAAAGAACUAGAUCGAGGAACUCCAAAUUGCUUAAAAUGAAACUGAAAAUCCUCUCAAGGAAGAGCAAACUGAAUAUAGAGGUUUACAUCUUCUUUUAGAUUAGACUUCUGGUUGCUCGUAGUUUCAUGAGAAACAUUAGGAAUUCAUUAUCUGCUGCAAGAUAAAAGUCAAUUACAGUUACAUGCUCUUUUCUUUGCAGUUAGUUAGAGCUGCAUGGUCUUUUUAUGCUUCGUACCUGCGAUUAGAUUUAGACAUGGAUUUGAAUAAUGUCCUCUAGCUCUAUUGCAGAACACAUUGAUAUGAUUUUUUACUUCUAAUAGUUUUCAAGCUUCUAUUACCUUCUGAUAUGUUGCAUGCUUAGAUUAAAUUUACUUGGACUGUGAAAGAUUGUUGUUUCCAUUUGUUGUAUCAUAAUUAAAACAAAUUUUAUAAGGAUGCUUAAUAACUAAGAUUGGUAGAUACGUUUUAGACUUUUAGUUGAUUUGGACUGUGAAGGAACCAAACUUAUGUUCAAACUUAAGUUGAGAUAGUACCUUAUAUUGGGUAUCUAACAAUAAAUAGUUUUAUAUACUUGAGAGAUAGACGACUCAAACUAGGAUGUGAAGUGUUUCAUAAUAACCGAUUAGAGAGGAAGAGUUGAUUGGAAACUCUCUCUUCGAUUUACCAUCUAACACUUCAUAUCUGCUGCUAAUCGAGUUCAUUUUGUGGGAACGCGAUCAAGGGAUGGGUUUUUCUAUCCACAAUUGAUUUACUUCCUGAAAAAUCUUCUAAUGAGCCAAGGUGGCAGAAAGCACAACUUACGCAGGCAAAGAAGAAUCUGAGAUGCGUUUUUGAAGUCAUGAUGAUGAUGAGAAUGGUAGUGGGCAGGUUGUCUAUCAGUACUAGAAAAGACACGUUAAAGGCACUUGAUGCGGUGGAAAAUAUAUUAGCAGAUUUUGUUGUCAUGAAAGAGUUUCAUCCAGCAACAACUUACUUUUGUUAUCAACCACAACUGCUGAAUUUGUUAUCAGUUACAACUACCAAAAUUCAAAUUCCAUGCCACUGUAACAUAUCUCAUACAUAUGUUGGUCCACCUAUAAUUCACUAUUUCUGUCUUUCUAAGAAGCUCACUGUAUAACUUUGUUCCCCAAACGAAUAUAAUAUACUAUGAAGCAUAA